AUCCUGGUAGCCUAGUGGUUAGAGUGUCCGCCUCAAAUUUGGGAGGUUUUGGGUUCGAUUUCCGGUCGAGUCAUA